rnacentral:rRNA from 1 species
CAGUCGCCGCGGGAAUACGAAGGGGGCUAGCGUUGUUCGGAUUUACUGGGCGUAAAGCGCACGUAGGCGGACUUUUAAGUCAGGGGUGAAAUCCCGGGGCUCAACCCCGGAACUGCCUUUGAUACUGGAAGUCUUGAGUAUGGUAGAGGUGAGUGGAAUUCCGAGUGUAGAGGUGAAAUUCGUAGAUAUUCGGAGGAACACCAGUGGCGAAGGCGGCUCACUGGACCAUUACUGACGCUGAUGCACGAAAGCUAGGGGAGCAAACAGGAUUAGAUACCCCUGUAGUCCCUGUCUCUUAUAC